rnacentral:misc_RNA from 1 species
CGAAACAUGGCAGCAUUGAUUAUGAGAUAUAUUUCUCGUGGGUUUUUACAACAGUUGAAAUUUCUAAGGUUAUGUCAACCAGUUACGUAUCAUGACUCUCAGAAAGCACUGUUUCAUACAGUUACCAGUCAAAAGUUUCACUUACUUUACAAGAGAGGUGUAAUUCAAGACAAAUUUCCAGAUGAAAGUCCAGACAUACCAUUCCUGUUAGAUGGAGGAAAGCAGUGCAUCUACAGUGGAUUUGAUCCAACUUCAGAUAGUCUUCACAUAGGAAAUUUACUGGUCAUUAUUGUGUUAAUGCAUUUACAGAGGUUGGGACAUGUAAUUCUUAGUGUGAUAGGAGACGCCACUGCUCAAAUAGGAGAUCCCAGUGGACGUAACACAGAAAGAUCUGCUUUGAGUCUACUGGAUAUUCACAAAAAUAGUAAAUGCAUUCAAACCGAUUUGGAAAGGCUAUUUGAAAACCAUGAAAAAUAUUUCUGGAACCCCUCAAAACCGAAAAAGAAUCUUUCAUCUGUUCGAAUAUUGCAUAAUAGUGAGUGGUAUAAUAACCAAGAUCUAGUCACUUUUCUUUCAACUGUUGGAAGACACUUCAGACUGGGACAAAUGUUGUCACGUACCAGUGUUCAAAACAGAUUGAAUAGUCAAGAGGGGAUGAGUUUCACAGAAUUUACUUAUCAAGUUUUUCAGUCUUUUGAUUGGCUUUUUCUUUAUGACAAAUACAACUGUAGAUUUCAAGUUGGAGGGAGUGAUCAGAUGGGAAAUAUUCACUCAGGUCACGAUCUUAUUAACCGAGUCAGAAGCAGAGAAGUCUUUGGUAUUACAACACCUCUUAUCAAAUCAGACACUGGGGACAAGUAUGGAAAAACUGGAGGUUCUGCCAUUUGGCUUAAUCCAGAGAAAACAAGCCCAUUUGAAUUUUAUCAGUUUUUCAUCAGACUUGCUGACAGAGAUGUUGAAGCCUUCCUCAAAUAUUUUACUUUUCUUUCUCUUCAAGAAAUUGAAUCAGAACUGCAGAAACAUAUGAAGGAUCCAGGAUCAAGGCAUGGUCAAAAAACUAUUGCAAAAAAUGUGACACUUCUGGUUCAUGGAGGUAUAUGUAGCAUGGCCUACAAUCUGCAUUACGUGCUACAGAAGCUCUUUUCCACUCCACACCAGAAACACUUGUGAAGCUGAAUGAAGAAGAACUACGGCAGAUAUUUCAACAAGCCACUGUGGUAGAACUAUUACUUGAUCCAGGAACAACAGUACUGGACAUGGCUAUGAGAGCUAAGUGCUUUGUUAAUUUAGAGGAUGCUGAAAGAAUAAUCAUGGCAGGAGGUUUUUACAUAAAUCACAUUAGAAUCAACAAUCCCAAGUAUGUCUUAAUUCCAGGGCAGCACAUUUUACCAAAUGGAAUAUCAGUUGUUCGUGUA